rnacentral:rRNA from 1 species
CCUACGGGAGGCAGCAGUGGGGAAUAUUGCACAAUGGGGGAAACCCUGAUGCAGCAACGCCGCGUGAAGGAAGAAGGUCUUCGGAUUGUAAACUUCUGUUCGUAGUGAAGAAUACUGUCGGUAGCUUAGGCGCAAGCCUCGGCUAACUACGUGCCAGCAGCCGCGGUAAUCCGUAGGGGGCAAGCGUUGUCCGGAAUUACUGGGUGUACAGGGAGCGCAGGCGGGAAGCCAAGUCAGCUGUGAAAACGACGGGCUUAACUUGUAGACUGCAGUUGAAACUGGUUUGCUUGAGUGAAGUAGAGGUUGGCGGAAUUCCGGGUGUAGCGGUGAAAUGCGUAGAUAUUCGGAGGAACACCGGUGGCGAAGGCGGCCAACUGGGCUGUAACUGACGCUGAGGCUCGAAAGUGUGGGGAGCAAACAGGAUUAGAUACCCUUGUAGUC